rnacentral:rRNA from 1 species
GACGAACGCUGGCGGCGUGCCUAAUACAUGCAAGUCGAACGCAGUGGGGACGGGUGAGUAAACCGUGGGUAACCUCCCAUCAGAGGGGAUAACACUUGGAAACAGGUGCUAAACCGAUACUGAUGGAUGGCCCCGCGGUGCAUUAGCUAGUUGGUGAGGUAAAGGCUCACCAAGGCAACGAUGCAUAGCCGACAUGAGAGGUGGAUAUGCCACCUGGGAACUGAGACACGGCCCAGACUCCUACGGUAGGCAGCAGUAGGGAACCUUCGGCAAUGGAAGAAAGUCUGACCGAGCAACGCCGCGUGAGUGAAGAAGGUUUGCGGAUCGUAAAACUCUGUUGUUAGAGAAGCGGUAUCUAACCAGAAAGCCACGGCUAACUACGUGCCAGCAGCCGCGGUAAUAC